AUUUGUACUGUGAACUGCGAAUGGCUCAUUAAAUCAGUUAUCGUUUAUUUGAUAGUACCUUACUACAUGGAUACCUGUGGUAAUUCUAGAGCUAAUACAUGCUAAGAACCUCGACUUCGGAAGGGGUGUAUUUAUUAGAUAAAAAACCAACGCCCUUCGGGGCUCCUUGGUGAAUCAUAAUAACUAAGCGAAUCGCAUGGCCUUGCGCCGGCGAUGGUUCAUUCAAAUUUCUGCCCUAUCAACUUUCGAUGGUAAGAUAGUGGCUUACCAUGGUGGCAACGGGUAACGGGGAAUUAGGGUUCGAUUCCGGAGAGGGAGCCUGAGAAACGGCUACCACAUCCAAGGAAGGCAGCAGGCGCGCAAAUUACCCAAUCCCGACACGGGGAGGUAGUGACAAUAAAUACUGAUACGGGGCUCUUUUGGGUCUCGUAAUUGGAAUGAGUACAAUCUAAAUCCCUUAACGAGGAACAAUUGGAGGGCAAGUCUGGUGCCAGCAGCCGCGGUAAUUCCAGCUCCAAUAGCGUAUAUUAAAGUUGUUGCAGUUAAAAAGCUCGUAGUUGAACCUUGGGUCUGGCUGACCGGUCCGCCUCACCGCGAGUACUGGGUUCGGCUGGGCCUUUCCUUCUGGGGAACCUCAUGGCCUUCACUGGCUGUGGGGGGAACCAGGACUUUUACUGUGAAAAAAUUAGAGUGUUCAAAGCAGGCCUUUGCUCGAAUACAUUAGCA
rnacentral:rRNA from 1 species